ensembl:lncRNA
UUUUAACCUUCCGGGGGUUUUUGGAGGCCUUAACAUACUCAAAAACUCUUGAAAAUUGGCACACAGGUUGGAAUCUGCGGCCAUCAGGAUGCCGCAGAGGCUGGGACCCGGGCGUGGCACAGGGGCUCUACGGCGCCCCCUGGAACACAGUCAGAAAUCUUGAACCAUAGCUCACACAUACUUGCAUGUAUUUAUAUAAAACUCUGUACACUUAUAGAUCUCAUUGAGCCGAACAACUUUCGCGCUCUAUGUCAUAGGCUCCGCCCAACAGGAAGUCAGCUAUUCAGGGUUGUUUAAAAAAAGCAUGCUCUGGAAUUUGAAAUACUCCUCUGAGGACUUUCAACCGUUUGCCUCGAAACUCGGUGAACAUGAUCUCAAGACAUUGGGGAUGAAAAAUUGCCAGGGGAUUUUUGAUAUCUCGAACGGUUUGUCCGUGGCGAGGCGUUGAAAUUAGGGCAAAAAAUGACAAGCAGGAAAUGUCUAAUAACAUCCACAUACAUUCCUUGAUUUUGAUCAAACUUCAUUGGUUUGUUCGUUGUAUGAUGCCGAUCGCAUAGAUGUGACUAUUAGGAGUCAAAGUUAUAGCGCCACCAACUGGCAGCAGGAAGUGUGUCAUUUUCAAAAUGCUUUGAAUUCAGCAUCUUAUUUUCACUCGAUUUGCUUCAAACUUCAUCAGAAUAAUGACAAAACACGGCCGAUGUAAAUCUGUUGUGGGGAUAUUGAUAUCUAAUAUAGUGUUUCCAUGGCAACGCUUCAAACUUGAAUAUUCUGUUCUGGUGAUUUUGAGGCAGAUAACAUGCUCAGAAUUACAUGAAACGCAAAACACAUAUCAGUCCUAAUGAUAUAUAGACAAUGGCAAAAGCUCAUAAAAAGGCGUGGAGGAGGCACUCUAUAGCGCCACCUUUUGUCAAAAGUGGGGGGGUUAGUUUUAGCUACAGACACCAAACUCGGUACAUAAAUUAUUCUUAUCAAGACGGACAACUUUCUAAUUUACAGUCAUCAGCUACGACCAACAGGAAGUCGGCUAUUUUGGUUUAAAUGUGGAUUUUUGGAAAAAUAUUGCUGUGAAUUAAUGCAUACUACUCAGAGGAAAAUUAC